UCCAAAAAAGAAAUCAAACAAAAAAUGACAUAAAAGAGAAGAUCGAAUGGAAUUGAUACUUCUAAAAAAUAUGAAUGAAAAGUUGUUAACAAAUUGCCAAACGUUAUUUCUAUUGAUACUGGUGGUUAUAGAUUUUUCCAAUGGAUCGGUCUCAUGGAGCUUGGAAACUAAACCGGCAAUAUUUGGAAAAGAUAUAAAAUUACAUUGUAAUCUUGAUGAUGAUACACCAUUCAACAACUCCAGACAUUGGAGUAAAGGCGAAAACGUUAGUGUAUUGGUGGUAAAUGGUAAAACAAUAAACAAUACAAAAUAUUCAGAGGAACGAGACAAGUCAAAACGUACUUCCAUUUUAACUAUAACGUCGUUAGAUACUGGUGACGUGAACGUGCCAUACACAUUCCAACAUGGUUUCAAAACGUACAAGAAAGUUUUGAAUAUGACUGUAGAGAAUU